AAUUCUCAAAAACCUUUCUUUUAUGAAAGGGUUUUGGACUUGGAGGCUUUUUGCUGGCUUCACCUCGAAGCGAGCUCCUCCUAAAUGAAUUAGUGGGGUCUGCUUUGCCGAUCCUUGACGUGAUAAGAUGUUACUACGUCUCGGGUUCGGCGAUGGCGCCCGCUUCUAAUCGUCUCAUUGACAAUGAUGGCGUUCCGGUCACCACCGUUUCAUCGGUCGGGAGGCUUGACCCACCAAAAAA
rnacentral:misc_RNA from 1 species